GACGAACGCUGGCGGCGUGCUUAACACAUGCAAGUCGAGCGGUAAGGCCCUUUCGGGGGUACGACGAGCGGCGAACGGGUGAGUAACACGUGGGUGACCUGCCCUUAGCUCUGGGAUAAGCCUGGGAAACUGGGUCUAAUACCGGAUAUGACUCCAUAACGCAUGUUGUGGGGUGGAAAGCCUUGUGCGGCUAGGGAUGGGCCCGCGCCUAUCAGCUUGUUGGUGGGGUGAUGG
rnacentral:rRNA from 1 species